AUUGAACGCUGGCGGCAGGCUUAACACAUGCAAGUCGAGCGAGCGGCGGACGGGUGAGUAAUGUCUGGGAAACUGCCUGAUGGAGGGGGAUAACUACUGGAAACGGUAGCUAAUACCGCAUACCAUCAGAUGUGCCCAGAUGGGAUUAGCUAGUUGGUGGGGUAACGGCUCACCAAGGCGACGAUCCCUAGCUGGUCUGAGAGGAUGACCCACCACAAGGGGACUGGGACACGGGCCCGAAUCCUACGGGAGGCAGCAGUGGGGAAAUAUGGACAAUGGGGGCAAGCCGGAUGGAGGCAUGCCGCGGGGAUGAAGAAAGCCUUCGGGGUGUAAAAUUAUUUCAGGGGGGAGGCGGUACCCGGAGAAGAAGCACCGGCCUACUCCGUGCCCGCAGCCGGGGGAAUAC
rnacentral:rRNA from 1 species